GAAGAGAUGGCUCAGUGGUCUAAGAGCACUGGCUGCUCUUGCUGCUCUUCCAGAGGACCUGGGUUCAAUUCCCAGCAUCCACA
rnacentral:tRNA from 1 species